rnacentral:rRNA from 1 species
AACGAACGCUGGCGGCAUGCCUAACACAUGCAAGUCGAACGAAGCCUUCGGGCUUAGUGGCGCACGGGUGCGUAACGCGUGGGAAUCUGCCCCUUGGUUCGGAAUAACAGUUGGAAACGACUGCUAAUACCGGAUGAUGACGAGAGGCCAAAGAUUUAGCGCCAGAAGAUGAGCCCGCGUAGGAUUAGCUAGUUGGUGUGGUAAAGGCGCACCAAGGCGACGAUCCUUAGCUGGUCUGAGAGGAUGAUCAGCCACACUGGGACUGAGACACGGCCCAGACUCCUACGGGAGGCAGCAGUGGGGAAUAUUGGACAAUGGGCGAAAGCCUGAUCCAGCAAUGCCGCGUGAGUGAUGAAGGCCCUAGGGCUGUAAAGCUCUUUUACCCGGGAUGAUAAUGACAGUACCGGGAGAAUAAGCCCCGGCUAACUCCGUGCCAGCCGCCGCCGUAA